CAGGGAUGUUUUAGAGAGCUUGAAGUCAAGCAGGAGGCUUUCCUAUCAUCCUUUCAGAUCUAGAUAUUCAGCCUACCUAUGCAUCUUCAGUAUUGCAUUAUACACUCAGUGUGAACCUAACUACCUAUAUAUGCUAAAGGCAAAGCACUCAGAUUCAAUUUUACAAAAGACAAGCUGAUUUGAAACGUGAAUUAUUGUAUUACACUGUACUUGAGCCUUCAAGACAGGCUUGUACUCAAGCAGCUACGUGUAAGUUGCUUUGCCUUCAUUCCUACUUCAACCUGAGUCAGCUAUCUUGGGUUAGCCAGCCUAUAGAAAGAACAUAUCCUUACAGUUGUUUUUUUCCUUCACAUUUCUGUGUAACCAGAAGGACUUAAAGGUGGAUAGGAAGGCCUUUCUGGCCAACUUUCAUGAGGCUGUGCCAUGUGGGAACUGGGUAGUAGAAGCUGUUUGGGAAGCUGGCAAAUGGAUGGAGAAGCAUGAGAACAUUGAGGCAGCCAAGGGUGGUUAAGACAACCCAGGACUCAUGCAAGAGAAUAGAUUUUAGGAGAGCUGUGAUGAGUAGAGGGUGUGAUUUAGAUUCACUAUGGGCUGGAGAGCCUAUGAACAGGACAAACUGAGCAGUUGCCUCUCAACACCUUUACUGCAUCUACCCACUGAGUCAGUGCAUUCUUCUUGCCUGUUGGAGUUGUCGUGGAAACAUUAUCACGUGAAGUGUUUGUGAUGCCAUGCUCCGUGCCUGGAGAAGGAUCAAAUAAGUGGAUAGAGGUGAAUCCACAGCUAACUUCUGAAACAGAGAUGUGAGCCCUGACAGGACCUUCUCCCUCACAGCUCUGCGUGGUGGACCUCCCAGAGUGCUCUGCCCGGCACACUGCUGACUCUAUUCUGUGUUCUUGACUGUUCCCGUGGCUUAGGGGUUCAAGCACCUUUCUUCAUCUUCCCCAGGACAUGUGGGAAAGCAGGGCUAAGAGUCCUGGGCCAGGCCAAUGCAGUGACUCAAGAAGAAGCUGAAGUGCUCCCCAGGCCUUGUGAACUGACCGAAGCAAGUGGGAACUCUGACUGGGAGAGCCUUGCAAUGGGACAGCAGCCAGAAGGGCACCUGAGCAGCAGAGCACUUUGGUAGCAGUGAGAAAAGUCAAUACGGGUUCUGAUAGCGCAG
ensembl:lncRNA